UGGGGAAUCUUGCGCAAUGGGCGAAAGCCUGACGCAGCGACGCCGCGUGGGGGAUGAAGGCCUUCGGGUUGUAAACCCCUUUCAGCAGGGACGAAGCGAAAGUGACGGUACCUGCAGAAGAAGCGCCGGCUAACUACGUGCCAGCAGCCGCGGUAACACGUAGGGCGCAAGCGUUGUCCGGAAUUAUUGGGCGUAAAGAGCUCGUAGGCGGACUGUCACGUCUGCUGUGAAAAGCUGGGGCUUAACCCUGGCCUUGCAGUGGAUACGGGCAGACUAGAGGUAGGUAGGGGAGAAUGGAAUUCCCGGUGUAGCGGUGAAAUGCGCAGAUAUCGGGAGGAACACCGGUGGCGAAGGCGGUUCUCUGGGCCUUACCUGACGCUGAGGAGCGAAAGCGUGGGGAGCGAACA
rnacentral:rRNA from 1 species